rnacentral:rRNA from 1 species
GCUUAAUAGAUUUUUUUUAAGAAAUACUUUUGUACCGAAAGAUUUGGAUCUCAAAAACAAUUGUUUUGAACUUAUUUUAAUUGAGUUAAUUAAUAAUAAAUUGUUUUUGCGUUGUGAAAAAUUAGUCGUCAAUUCUUAUAACUGUUUUGUUGUUUAAUAUUUCUUUUAAUACGAUAAGUUAAAAGAUUUGUCGUAAGUUUAUACCAUUUAUUUAUAAUUAGGUUAAUAUAGGGUUAAAAGUACCUAUUAUUAGUAAAAUUGUUAUAAAUUUAUUUAUUAUACGAUAGUAUGGUUUAUUAGAGAUACAACUUAAUUUAACUUUUAGUAUACAAAUUAUUAUUGAAUGAGUAAUAUUAUUACACUUAGUUAUUUCUCAAUAUUUGCCCGUCUGUUUAUUAAAAACAUUUCCAAUUGUUAAGUUUAUUUGGUAGUACCUGCUCUAUGUUAGUAAUAAAUGGCCGCAGUAUCUUGACUGUGCGAAGGUAGCAUAAUUAAUUGCCUUAUAAUUGAAGGCUUGUUUGAAUGGUUUGACGAGGUAGAGUUUAAUAUUUAGUGUUUUGUUGAAAUUGGUAGUGAGGGCACAGAAUCCUCAUUUUUUAAUUAGACGGAAAGACCCCGGAAUCUUUAUAUUUUGCCUGGGGCAGGUUUUAGUAUUUUACUAGUAUUGGGACCUCGUUGGGUAUGGGUUAGUGAGUUAAGUUACUCCGGGGAUAACAGUGUAAUAGUUAAUGAGAGAUCUUAUCGAAUUAAUUGUUUGCCACCUCGAUGUUGACUUAGAUAGUAAUUCAGGCGUAGUAGUUUGAAAUUUGGGUCUGUUCGACCUUACAUAUCUCCAUGAGUUGAGUUAAGACCGGCGUGAG